rnacentral:rRNA from 1 species
CUCGUAGGCGGUUUGUCGCGUCGUCUGUGAAAUUCUGCAACUCAAUUGCAGGCGUGCAGGCGAUACGGGCAGACUUGAGUACUACAGGGGAGACUGGAAUUCCUGGUGUAGCGGUGAAAUGCGUAGAGAUCGGGAGGAACACCAGUGGCGAAGGCGACUUACUGGACUGUAACUGACGCUGAGGCGCGAAAGUGUGGGGAGCAAACA